rnacentral:tRNA from 1 species
CAUUAAGAAGCUAAAAUAGCGUUAACCUUUUAAGUUAAAGACUGAGAGACAAGACUCCCCUUAA